GACUCCCUACCCUACCAGUCCCCUUACAGUUUCACCUCACUUCUGUUUUCAGAAAAACAGCCUUUCCCUCAACCUCUCUACGAAAGCAGAAGUCCUCUGCUAGGGCACGACCUUCAUCCACCUUCGAGCUAACGAAACUCAUCUAGUGCCUUCCGCUCCGUACCCUGCCCCUGUACUCCACUACCUUUCUUGGGCUGCUACUCUUUUCUGCUAGCGUUUAACAAGAUGAGAGGGAGAUUAGAGAUGGAUCCGGGAGACACAGCGGUGCAGCUUAGUUUCAUGGCCAUGAGGCCUUUUGUAUUAGUUGCCUUGAGGGCAACCCUUUUGCAAGACCGUUGAACUUUUAAAUUUCCUUUUGCUUAGGACUAUGUGGUAUGCCUAAGUUUCUUUUAAGUGACUCCGGAUGACUGUAAUAAUUACCCUUCUUACGUUUCAUGUUUAUUCGAUUGGCUCUCGUUAUCAAAAUUUUAUGACGCUUUA